ensembl:vault_RNA Vault Vault RNA
AUGCUGGGUAGCUCAGGGGAUACUUCAACUCUGUCACCGGAUGUCUAAUCUCCCAGUCCACAAGCCAGAGGUUCGAACCCCGGGCGCAGUCCAACGUUUUU